rnacentral:misc_RNA from 1 species
GAUGAAGAACGUAGCGAAACGCGAUAUGUAAUGUGAAUUGCAGAAUUCAGUGAAUCAUCGAAUCUUUGAACGCACAUGGCGCCUUCCAGUAUCCUGGGAGGCAUGCCUGUCCGAGCGUCGUUUCAACCCUCGAGCCCCCGUGGCCCGGCGUUGGGGAUCUGCCCAGGCAGUCCCCGAAAACCAGUGGCGGACCGGUUACAGGCCCUUCCCUUGCGUAGUAGCAUUCGCCUCGCAUCGGGAGCCGGCGGGCUUCCAGCCUCUAAACCCCCAUCAAGUCCGCCCCGGCGGCACCAAGGUUGACCUCGGAUCAGGUAGGAAUACCCGCUGAACUUAAGCAUAUCAAUAAGCGGAGGA